rnacentral:sRNA from 1 species
CCAAUAGCGUAUAUUAAAGUUGUUGCAGUUAAAAAGCUCGUAGUUGAAUUUCGGGAUCAAUAUUUCGGUCAUGCCGUUGGUAUGCACUGUUAUCAUUGAUUUCUCACCUUCUAAAGAACCGUAAUGCCAUUAAUUUGGUGUUACGGGGAAUUAGGACUGUUACCUUGAAAAAAUUAGAGUGUUUAAAGCAGGCUCACGCUUGAAUACAUUAGCAUGGAAUAAUGAAAUAGGACAUCCGAUUCUAUUUUGUUGGUUUCUAGGAUCGAUGUAAUGAUUAAUAGGGAUAGUUGGGGGCAUUAGUAUUCAAUUGUCAGAGGUGAAAUUCUUGGAUUUAUUGAAGACUAACUACUGCGAAAGCAUUUGCCAAGGAUGUUUUCAUUAAUCAAGAACGAAAGUUAGGGGAUCGAAGACGAUCAGAUACCGUCGUAGUCUUAACCAUAAACUAUGCCGACUAGGGAUCGGAUGAUGUUAAUUUUUUAAUGACUCAUUCGGCGCCUUAC